rnacentral:rRNA from 1 species
UACGAAGGGUGCAAACGUUGCUCGGAAUCAUUGGGCGUAAAGCGCACGUAGGCGGCCCCAAAAGUUGGAUGUGAAAUCCCUCGGCUCAACCGAGGACGUGCAUCCAAAACUGUGGGGCUUGAGUACUGUAGAGGAUCGCGGAAUUCCCGGUGUAGAGGUGAAAUUCGUAGAUAUCGGGAGGAACACCAGUGGCGAAGGCGGCGAUCUGGGCAGAUACUGACGCUGAGGUGCGAAAGCGUGGGGAGCAAACAGG